GACGAACGCUGGCGGCGUGCUUAACACAUGCAAGUCGAACGGAAAGGCCCUGCUUUUGUGGGGUGCUCGAGUGGCGAACGGGUGAGUAACACUUGAGUAACCUGCCCUUGACUUUGGGAUAACUUCAGGAAACUGGGGCUAAUACCUGAUAUGAUCUCCUGCUGCCUGUUUGGGGUUGGAAAGUUUCGGCGGUUGGGGAUGGACUCGCUGCUUAUCAGCUUGUUUGUUGGGUAGUGGCUUACCAAGGCUUUGACGGGUAGCCGGCCUGAGAGGGUGAACGGCCAAAUUGGGAAUGAGAUACGGCCCAGACUACAACGGGAGGCAGGAGGGGGGAAUAGUGCAAAAUGGGAGGAAGCCUGAUGCAGCAAAGCAGCGUGCGGGAUGACGGGCUUCGGGUUGUAAACCGAUUUAGACUGUGACGAAGAGUGAGUGACGGUAAUGGGUAAAGAAGCAACGGCUAACUACGUG
rnacentral:rRNA from 1 species